CCUACGGGGGGCAGCAGUGGGGGAUAUUGGACAAUGGGGGAAACCCUGAUCCAGCGAUGCCGCGUGAGGGAAGAAGGUUUUCGGAUUGUAAACCUCUGUGGAGGGGGACGAUAAUGACGGUACCCCUUUAGGAAGCCACGGCUAACUACGUGCCAGCAGCGGCGGUAAUACGGAGGUGGCGAGCGUUUUCCGGAAUUACUGGGGGUAAAGGGAGUGUAGGCGGGAAAGCAAGGUCGAAGUGAAAACUGUGGGAUUAACCCAUAGCCUGCUUUUGAAACUGUUUUUCUUGAGUGAAGUAGAGGCAAGUGGAAUUCCUGGUGUAGCGGUGAAAUGCGUAGAUAUUAGGAGGAACCCCAGUGGCGAAGGCGGCUUGCUGGGCUUUUACUGACGCUGAGGCUCGAAAGCGUGGGGAGCAAACAGGAUUAGAUACCCCUGUAGUC
rnacentral:rRNA from 1 species